rnacentral:misc_RNA from 1 species
GCAAACUUGGUCAUUUAGAGGAAGUAAAAGUCGUAACAAGGUUUCCGUAGGUGAACCUGCGGAAGGAUCAUUACAGAAUAAACUUGGCAAGUUGAUGCUGGCUCUCUAGGGAGCAUGUGCUCACUUGUUAUUUUUAUAUUUCCACCUGUGCACCUUUUGUAGUUCUGGGAUAUUUUCAUAGUCGAAAGCUGUAUUGCUUCGUCUGUGUAGUGAGGAUCUGCUGUGUUGAAUAAGCCAGCUUUCCUCUGCACUUCCCAGAUCUAUGUUUUUCAUAUACACCCAUGUAUGUUAUUGAAUGAACAUUAAGGCCUUCAAAAGCCUAUAUAAACAAUAUACAACUUUCAGCAACGGAUCUCUUGGCUCUCGCAUCGAUGAAGAACGCAGC